UACGUAGGGACCAAGCGUUGUUCGGAUUUACUGGGCGUAAAGGGCGCGUAGGCGGCCACCGCAAGUCGACUGUGAAAUCUCCGGGCUUAACCCGGAAAGGUCAGCCGAUACUGCGGGGCUAGAGUGCAGAAGGGGCAACUGGAAUUCUCGGUGUAGCGGUGAAAUGCGUAGAUAUCGAGAGGAACACCUGCGGCGAAGGCGGGUUGCUGGGCUGGCACUGACGCUGAUGCGCGAAAGCUAGGGGAGCGAACGGG
rnacentral:rRNA from 1 species